rnacentral:sRNA from 1 species
CGGCCUAGGAGGGACUUCCUCCUCUUUCGGCCCCGCCUCCUGGCUCGGGAAUCUCUGUUGGGCGGGGAAGUCUCGCGAGCUUUCCUCCCUGCUCCGCGAGAAAUUGUCUGUAGAAGGUUGAUGGAGCAGUGGUGUUUGUUGCUGAACUGUUUUCCGGAUUUGUAGGGCGGAUGUUGAAUGGCGGGUUGUCAACUCUGGACUUGCUGUCAACUGACCAGAGCCAGGCUGGGAAGUCCGAAUGCGUGGACAGGUCUAGGGCGAAGCCAAGUGUAGGGACUCAUUCUGUCAGCCCGAAAAGGGCUGGGGGCGGGGGUUGAGGGUGUUUGAGUCUUAUGUGAAGUCGAGCCCCUCACCCAUUAAAAUCCGUUAUAGAAUCUGCGAGACUUCAUCCGGGAAAGUGUUCCAUGGCCACGGUGAGCAGUGGGCGAUCUUAAUGUUCCACAAACGCGUUGACAGUUCUUAUUUCCCGCCAAAGCGUUCUUCCGUUAGCCUCUUAGCACGGACCAUUAAAAGGCUCGGAGAGAAACCGGCCGCAGCGACGAGGCAAGCGCAGGCGGGCAGCCUCACAGUCCUCGUGUGCCGCAAGAACGAAGGGUUCCUGGCGUUCAGUUAACGUCGCUCGCCCGAAGGCCGUGGCUCCCAGUGUAGUUCAGCUGCCUCUCCGUUCUCUUAUUUGGUCCCUCAGCUCAACCACUUGAAAGAUGAACAUGGGGAAGGUACACACGUUGGUCCCGCGGUGUAUUUUGGGAGUUGUAGUCAUCUUUAUGGUUGUCAAAGUGUGUUUAUGUUUUGGCGAGAUUAGUUAGGCGUGAACUCAUCACCAUACGUUUAAAGGGGUGUCUUAUGCACCUAGUCGCUUGAUUAAAAACGAUUUCAAAUUUUGAUCUAUCUUUGCUUUUUCAAAAAUGUAUAAAGGAUCAAGAAAGUAUAAAGGAUCAAGAAAAUUAGCCUGGUCUGCAGCCAUUCAUCUGUAAAGACUGCACAUAGAAAAACAGACAGGAGCAUCUCUUUGAGGACCAGGCCAGCCUAUGGAUCCUGCUGAGGACAGAAGAGGUUGCCGGUUCCCUUGGAACUGCAGUUUACUGGUAGUUGCCAUAAACUACCACUGUAAGCCACCACAUGGGUGCUGGGAACCCAGUCCUAACUGCUGAGCCAUCUCUCCAGCCCAUUUCUAAGUUUUGACUGCUGUUUGCCAAACUAUGGACAUUACAUACAUUGAAUCUUGUUUCUUUUGAAAUAUCUAUUCAUUGAAGUGGCUCUGAAUCAUUUCAUUUGAAACAACUUAUCAUAUAUAUCCUGGUCCCGCUACUGUAAGACUAAAGAUUAUGAACAACUUCUAUUCACUGAUAGAGGACUACAAGACAAGAUGCUCGAGGUUUUGAAAUCGUUUUGCUCAUUGUCUGCAAUAUUUCCCUCUUUGCCACUAGAAGAAAAAGCAACACAAUAAAAAUUGUAACUCCAUCAAUACUAGAGAUUGCACAUAGACCUCAUGCAUGGUGUGCAAACACUCUACCACUGAACUAUACCCUCAACCACUGGAAUGUCUUCUUACAGAACCCUGAUUAUUCUGGAAUGUAGACCAAGCCAACAUGGAAGAAUCAGAGAACCUCCUGCCUUUGUCUCCUGGGUGUUGGGAUUAAAAAUAUGUGUGCCACAAGGCCUGGCUGCUGCUUCAUUUUUUGACUCAGGAAUUUUAAAGAGUAUUUUUAGAUUUUCAAAUGACAGGCUAUAGGACUAGCACCUUAAGAUUCUGAUGCAAAUGAGAGAGGAACAUUGUACAUUAAUUCUUUCCUAGGUGCCUACUCAAGCAAAGUGUUAACUAUACUUCUAGAAGAUAAUGUGACCAUCACCUCAUGAUCUAGCAUUAUAAAUUUAAGAUAAAGCUGAGGAACUAUGAGAAUAACUGAGUUUUUCAAGAUCUUACCACUGAAAUUUGAAAAUAAAUCUGUAUUUAAAAAACAAAUCUUUAAUAUCUUUAUACUAGAGAUUGCACAUAGACCUCAUGCAUGGUGUGCAAACACUCUACCACUGAACUAUACCCUCAACCACUGGAAUGUCUUCUUACAGAACCCUGAUUAUUCUGGAAUGUAGACCAAGCCAACAUGGAAGAAUCAGAGAACCUCCUGCCUUUGUCUCCUGGGUGUUGGGAUUAAAAAUAUGUGUGCCACAAGGCCUGGCUGCUGCUUCAUUUUUUGACUCAGGAAUUUUAAAGAGUAUUUUUAGAUUUUCAAAUGACAGGCUAUAGGACUAGCACCUUAAGAUUCUGAUGCAAAUGAGAGAGGAACAUUGUACAUUAAUUCUUUCCUAGGUGCCUACUCAAGCAAAGUGUUAACUAUACUUCUAGAAGAUAAUGUGACCAUCACCUCAUGAUCUAGCAUUAUAAAUUUAAGAUAAAGCUGAGGAACUAUGAGAAUAACUGAGUUUUUCAAGAUCUUACCACUGAAAUUUGAAAAUAAAUCUGUAUUUAAAAAACAAAUCUUUAAUAUCUUUAA